rnacentral:rRNA from 1 species
UGGGGAAUAUUGCACAAUGGGCGCAAGCCUGGUGCAGCCAUGCCGCGUGUGUGAAGAAGGCCUUCGGGUUGUAAAGCACUUUCAGCGAGGAGGAAGGGUAGUGUGUUAAUAGCACAUUGCAUUGACGUUACUCGCAGAAGAAGCACCGGCUAACUCCGUGCCAGCAGCCGCGGUAAUACGGAGGGUGCAAGCGUUAAUCGGAAUUACUGGGCGUAAAGCGCAC